UACAGAGGGUGCGAGCGUUGUUCGGAAUUAUUGGGCGUAAAGCGCUUGUAGGCGGCUUGUUAAGUUCCGUGUGAAAUCCCCAGGCUUAACCUGGGAAGUGCGCGGAAAACUGGCGAGCUUGAGUGCCGGAGAGGGUCGCGGAAUUCCCGGUGUAGAGGUGAAAUUCGUAGAUAUCGGGAGGAACACCAGUGGCGAAGGCGGCG
rnacentral:rRNA from 1 species